UGGGGAAUAUUGGACAAUGGGGGGAACCCUGAUCCAGCCAUGCCGCGUGUGUGAAGAAGGCCUUAUGGUUGUAAAGCACUUUAAGCGAGGAGGAGGGUACUGGUAUUAAUACUACCAGCUACUGGACGUUACUCGCAGAAUAAGCACCGGCUAACUCUGUGCCAGCAGCCGCGGUAAUACAGAGGGUGCGAGCGUUAAUCGGAUUUACUGGGCGUAAAGCGUGCGUAGGCGGCUAAUUGAGUCGGAUGUGAAAUCCCCGAGCUUAACUUGGGAAUUGCAUUCGAUACUGGUUAGCUAGAGUGUGGGAGAGGAUGGUAGAAUUUCAGGUGUAGCGGUGAAAUGCGUAGAGAUCUGGAGGAAUACCGAUGGCGAAGGCAGCCAUCUGGCCUAACACUGACGCUGAGGUACGAAAGCAUGGGGAGCAAACAGG
rnacentral:rRNA from 1 species